UACGAAGGGGGCGAGCGUUGUUCGGAAUCACUGGGCGUAAAGAGUGCGUAGGCGGUUAUGCAAGUUAGGUGUGAAAUCCCAGGGCUUAACCUUGGAAUUGCUCUUAAUACUACAUAACUCGAAUUCGGGAGAGGAUAGCGGAAUUGUCAGUGUAGCAGUGAAAUGCGUAGAUAUUGACAGGAACACCAAUGGCGUAAGCGACUAUCUGGACCGACAUUGACGCUGAGGCACGAAAGCGUGGGGAUCAAACAGG
rnacentral:rRNA from 1 species